GGAGGAUCCGAGCGUUAUCCGGAUUUAUUGGGUUUAAAGGGAGCGUAGGCCGGAGAUUAAGCGUGUUGUGAAAUGUAGAUGCUCAACAUCUGAACUGCAGCGCGAACUGGUUUCCUUGAGUACGCACAAAGUGGGCGGAAUUCGUGGUGUAGCGGUGAAAUGCUUAGAUAUCACGAAGAACUCCGAUUGCGAAGGCAGCUCACUGGAGCGCAACUGACGCUGAAGCUCGAAAGUGCGGGUAUCGAACAGGAUUAGAUACCCUGGUAGUCCGCACGGUAAACGAUGGAUGCCCGCUGUUGGUCUGAACAGGUCAGCGGCCAAGCGAAAGCAUUAAGCAUCCCACCUGGGGAGU
rnacentral:rRNA from 1 species